UACGAAGGGGCUAGCGUUGCUCGGAAUCACUGGGCGUAAAGGGUGCGUAGGCGGGUCUUUAAGUCAGGGGUGAAUCCUGGAGCUCAACUCCAGAACUGCCUUUGAUACUGAGGAUCUUGAGUUCGGGAGAGGUGAGUGGAACUGCGAGUGUAGAGGUGAAAUUCGUAGAUAUUCGCAAGAACACCAGUGGCGAAGGCGCUCACUGGCCCGAUACUGACGCUGAGGCACGAAGCGU
rnacentral:rRNA from 1 species